AGCACCAAUUAUGCUAAUAAAUUAGCACGUUAGCACGUUAUUGUAAUAUCCCAUAGUACAUACAUGUUAUUAAAACUUGAACUAAUGCACUGUGAGUCUUAUAAAUUGCUUACAUACCUCACCGAUUUCUGCAUGUCUGGAAAACGCUCGGUUUAGUUCCUGUCUCCGCCUCCCAAAAUGUCUAGUGUAUUCGGAUUGGUCAGAUGACUACUCAACUGUUAUUGGUCAACUGGGUUCGGCGUGUGUUUGAAAGGUUACGCCCCUGACUACGCGUGGGUUUUCCGGUUCUGACUGAGAGUCACAGGCAACGUAAACAAGCGCUAUAUUUCUCUAUAAACGAUGGUGUCUGUACUGCCUUACCACUUCAAGCUCGAUCCAGAGAGUUCAGACGGCCGUUACGAUGUAAACGAUCUCCGUCAAUGAACGCGAUUGGAUUUAACUUUUUUAGGUGUCCUUAGCUCUGCCAGAAUGCUAAACGAAGACGAAAAUGUGUUGCAAAGACAUCCAAAAGGUUUUAAGGAGAAUGCAACAUGUUCCAGGGCCUCUUACCUGCGUGAUUCAUCAUCCAGGUUUUGCACAAAUUGUCUAAAUCCCUACACACAGAACAUUUAUUGUACCGACUAUAAGCCUUUGAGGUGCAGGACUACAAUACGCUUGGAGCUUCCUGAUCAGAUCGGUCACAAUUUUGGCUUUCGACGACCCCUGCACUGAAGAUGGCAUGCAAUCACGUCCUCCUUUGAAGGUCUCUCAAACUGUGAUGCCAGGUCCAUUGGAAUCGGGGUUUCCU